rnacentral:rRNA from 1 species
AUUGAACGCUGGCGGCAGGCUUAACACAUGCAAGUCGAGCGGAGUGAUGGUGCUUGCACUAUCACUUAGCGGCGGACGGGUGAGUAAUGCUUAGGAAUCUGCCAUUUAGUGGGGGACGACAUUCCGAAAGGAAUGCUAAUACCGCAUACGUCCUACGGGAGAAAGCAGGGGAUCUUCGGACCUUGCGCUAAAUGAUGAGCCUAGGUCGGAUUAGCUAGUUGGCGAGGUAAUGGCUCACCAAGGCGACGAUCCGUAACUGGUCUGAGAGGAUGAUCAGGCACACUGGAACUGAGACACGGUCCAGACUCCUACGGGAGGCAGCAGUGGGGAAUAUUGGACAAUGGGCGAAAGCCUGAUCCAGCCAUGCCGCGUGUGUGAAGAAGGUCUUCGGAUUGUAAAGCACUUUAAGUUGGGAGGAAGGGCAGUAAGCGAAUACCUUGCUGUUUUGACGUUACCGACAGAAUAAGCACCGGCUAACUCUGUGCCAGCCGCCGCGGUAACAC